AUACCUUUUUUGGGCUUUUGGCUAAGAUAAAGUGUAAAAUUUGGUCUUAACAGUUUAAUAUCUGAUAUGUUGACUAUAUGUUCGCUUUGAUAUUAAAUUUACUUUUUAUGGAUAUCAAAUAUAAUUGUGUAUCGUAUGGUGCCCUAGUCGGUGGGCACUUCAUCUGGGUCACCAUACAACAC
rnacentral:snRNA from 1 species